AAGGAACUCCCUCCGUUCCAAAUUACUCGUCGCAGAAAUGGAUGUAUCUAAAACUAAAAUACAUCUAGAUACAUCCAUAUCUGCGACAAGUAAUUCAGAACGGAGGGAGUACUAC
rnacentral:pre_miRNA from 1 species